UAGGGAAUCCUCCACAAUGGACGCAAGUCUGAUGGAGCAACGCCGCGUGAGUGAAGAAGGCUUUCGGGUCGUAAAACUCUGUUAUUGAAGAAGAACGUGUGUGACAGUAACUGGUCAUGCAGUGACGGUAUUCAAUCAGAAAGUCACGGCUAACUACGUGCCACAGCCGCGGUAAUACGUAGGUGGCAAGCCUGUCCGGAUUUA
rnacentral:rRNA from 1 species